rnacentral:ribozyme from 2 species
ACUCUAACCCAGCGGCAAUCUUUUGCCCGUGUCCGAAGCCACUAAUGGGGACGGGAGU